GCAGGCCUAACACAUGCACCGUCGAUUGGGUAACAGGUCUUCGGAUGCUGACGACCGGCGCACGGGUGCGCAACGCGUAUAGAAUCUGCCCCUUACUGAGGAAUAGCCCAGAGAAAUUUGGAUUAAUGCCUCAUGGUAUGUACUGAUGGCAUCGUUAGUACAUUAAAGGUUACGGUAAGGGAUGACUAUGCGUCCCAUUAGCUAGAUGGUAAGGUAACGGCUUACCAUGGCGACGAUGGGUAGGGGCCCUGAGAGGGGGAUCCCCCACACUGGUACUGAGACACGGACCAGACUCCUACGGGAGGCAGCAGUGAGGAAUAUUGGACAAUGGGCGAGAGCCUGAUCCAGCCAUGCCGCGUGCAGGAAGACGGUCCUAUGGAUUGUAAACUGCUUUUGUACGGGAAGAACAAGGAGUACGUGUACUCCUCUGACGGUACCGUAAGAAUAAGGAUCGGCUAACUCCGUGCCAGCAGCCGCGGUAAUACGGAGGAUCCGAGCGUUAUCCGGAAUUAUUGGGUUUAAAGGGUCCGUAGGCGGGCCAUUAAGUCAGGGGUGAAAGUCUGCGGCUCAACCGUAGAAUUGCCUUUGAUACUGGUGGUCUUGAGUUAUGGUGAAGUGGCUAGAAUAUGUAGUGUAGCGGUGAAAUGCAUAGAUAUUACAUAGAAUACCGAUUGCGAAGGCAGGUCACUAACCAUAAACUGACGCUGAUGGACGAAAGCGUGGGUAGCGAACAGGAUUAGAUACCUGGUA
rnacentral:rRNA from 1 species